rnacentral:rRNA from 1 species
CCCUUAGAUGUUCUGGGCUGCACGCGCGCUACACUGAUUCUUUCAGCGAGUCCACCACCUUGCCUGGGAGGGUGGGGUAACCUCUGGAAAGAGCAUCGUGAUGGGGAUCGAUUAUUGUAAUUAUUAAUCUUCAACGAGGAAUUCCUAGUAAGCAUGUGUCAUCAGCCCGUGCUGAUUACGUCCCUGCCCUUUGUACACACCGCCCGUCGCUCCUACCGAUUGAAUGUUCCGGUGAGCUCUUCGGACUGCGCGGUCUGCAGUUUCUGCGUUCCGUGCGGAAAGUUGCGCAAACCUUAACAUUUAGAGGAAGGAGAAGUCGUAACA